AAUGAUAUGCUUGUGUGAUGCUACUAAAAAAUUUUCAGGGGUCAGAAAGACUUUGAAUUCAGAGUUAUGGCAUGCUUGUGCAGGGCCUCUUGUGUCAUUACCCCAGGUUGGGAGCCUUGUGUUUUACUUCCCUCAGGGACAUAGUGAGCAGCUUCUACUAGAAGAACAACAACAUCACAAAUUCCAAACUACCCCAAUCUUCCAUAUCAGUUGUUGUGUCAAGUUCAAAAUGUCACACUUCAUGCAGACAAGGAGACAGGAAGUGAGUGCAGUAGGAGUAGUUCUUUCACACUUAAAUUACAGGGAUGCUGAUUGUAAUCAAGCAUUUAAUUUUUCUUGAUGUCAAGAAUCACAAACCAGAAGGUCAAGAAGUGAGUGCAGCAAGAGUAAACAUUGAUAAUCACAUGAAUAAAGGCAGUGGUUGGAUUAACUCAACAUAACAAUGCAAAGCCUGUUGCUGAUUCUAGUUUUCCCAAGGCUAAACCAGAACAUUCUUUGGACUCACGAUUCAAACCGCCAGAAGCUUCCAGCUAGUAAUAAUUUAAGGAAAAAUAGUAUUUGGACACUCAUGUUAUAGCAAGGCAAGGUUGAGGAGGGCAGAUUGCAAUGCCAAGGUGCAUCCCUAGUUACCAAAUAGGUCAUAACCUUUCCAGUUAGGCUCUCAAAUUGGCACCCUAGAAUUGUCUUCUUAUUAGAGGUGUUCAUGUUAAACAUAUUUACCUACAGUUGAAGAUGAUAGGUACAUAUUAAAGACUUUUACCUAUAGUUAGGAGAUGUAAGUAGAAGUUAAUGACUUUUACCUACACAUUAUACAUAGUAGGUAAAACCUAUAGUGACAGACAAUUAGUCGUCACUAUAUGCCCCCUCAAAGUUGACGGAAGAAACAUCCAUAGGACAAAGUCUAUCAUACAUUUACCUAUGGAUUUUUUUUAUUUAUAGUGAUAGUUUUUGUCCGUAGGU